rnacentral:sRNA from 1 species
GCUCUUUCUCCCAAGCCCCCGCGGGAGAAGAUUCAGAGGGACUGACCAGGAGGGGCGCGGGAGUCCGCCUGGGGGGGCCUUGCACAUGCAGGGAUGGAGGUGGGGACGGAGGCCGGGUCUCCUCGCGUCGGCGCCCCAGGGAGUCAGGGCCCGGGGUGGUGGGACGGGAGACGGGACCUCGGGGAGCGGCUCGCGGGGAUCGCGGAGGGCGAGCGCCACGGGGAUGGAGUUCGUGGCACCGCCCUGGCCGCAGGCGACGCACUCGUCAGUGCAAACGAUGAAGCCACCCCCACCCCCACCCCCGCCCCGUCGGAACUUUGCAGUUUCCCGCCUGGGUGGUGGGGGGCUUGGAGCGCUGCGGGGGGGAGGGCAGUUCGACCUUCCAGGGCGCCGCCGGGAGUGGGGAGGGGAGGGCUGUGGGGGAAGCUUCAGUCUCGGCCCUUGGGCUGGUGGGGCUGCCACGGGAGGGUGACCUGGUUUCGGGGGGGAGUCAUGCGUUUCUCUCCAGCACAGGCCUCUGGCAGUGCUGGCUGGGGCAGGGUGAAUGCAGAGGAGCUCAGGCCUGAAAGUCAUCAGCCCCAAAGGGCUCCAGCACCCCUUCCUCUGGGCCCCUAGCCUGGGAGCUCUAGGGGACUCUGACCCGGUCAGAUCCUGAGGCAUAAGCAGAAGUCCACUGAGGAUCUGGGUGUCUCAGGCUCUCUACAAGAGUUUACUUUCAACACAGAAGGUGGGGUUUUUAUCUGCUCUCUCAGAAGAUGAAGCAGGCUCAGAGAGGCUUGAACCUACCCUGAUGGGUCCUCAGCCUCCCCUCUGUGCCUGCCGUCUUCCCUUGGCAGGGUCUGGCACUGUGCCCACCGAGGGUGGGUUUGCAGCCAGCAUAAUCGCAGACACUCCCCGAGGGUGCAGGGCUCCUGGAGGGCAGCCCACCCACAGCCCCCUCACCUCACUCUCCUGUCCCCAGUUCAUGAGGAAGGCCCAGGGACACUGCUGGGUGAGGCAACCCACACGAGCAUUCUCUUCUGGAGGCCUGGAGAGGGGAAGAAGCUUCCACUUCCAGGGCCUGCCGAGACUCCCUAGCCAGUGCUCCCACCAGGUGGGGGUGGCUGAGAAGCGACCUGUAGACCCUCCUACUCCUCUGUAAAGGGCCGGGUUCUGAGCCAUUCCAUUUGCCCGCAGUCGUGCCCCUGGUCAGAGAGGCCCUGAGCACAGGAAUACCAGCCCUUCCCCUGUCUCUGCGCCUAGUGCCUCCCUGUGGGAGGGCAGGGCUGCCCUAGAGGACUGGCUGUCCAGGCGAAUGGGCUCACACAGAACUGCUGGAGCCACCCUCCAUGGUGGGCCGGGGCUGGGCUUGGCGGGGGAGCCGGGCCUCACGGUCCCCUGCCCGCAGUGCUGGGUGGCAUGGAGGUGCGGUGGUGCGCCACCUCGGACCCAGAGCAGCACAAGUGCAGCAACAUGAGCAAGGCCUUCCAGGAAGCGGGCAUCCAGCCCUCCCUCCUCUGCGUCCAGGGCACCUCGGCCGACCACUGCGUCCAGCUCAUCGCGGCCCAGGAGGCUGACGCCAUCACUCUGGAUGGAGGAACCGUCUAUGAGGCGGGAAAGGAGCAUGGCCUGAAGCCCGUGGUGGGCGAAGUGUAUGAUCAAGGUAGGAGGGUGCAGUGGGACGAGAGAGGACAGCUCUCCAGGCUGCCCUUGCUGGGCCUGGCCUGAGCUGGCCAUCAGCCCUGUCCACAGAGUAGUCCUGGAGUCCCAGCCAGACGAACGCCCUAAGUCUCUCUCAAAUUGCCCAGGGACAGGAGCUCCAGGGACACAGAUAGCUGCCCCAAGUCUGCUCUUCCCCGCAGGGAGCCCAGCAGCCCCCUAGCCUGUGCCCACUCAGCUCUUACUGCGGGCCUGGUGUGGCCCCGGGCCUGGUGUGGUGCCGGGCAUGGUGCUGUGCCUGUAACUGCCUCGGGUGAGCAAAGUGUCCUUAAUGCCGAGCCACCUGCACACUCAGGGCCUCCCUUCAGAAGCCCGGCUCUGGGUAGGGAGUGCCUGCAAGCGGCACAGCUCAACAGACCCAGCACUUCCCCUUCCCAUGACUUCUGUGACGUUGGCCAGCCUCCACUUCCCAGACUGUACAAUGGGGAUAGUAACACCUGCGCUGUCACCCAGACUAAAUGAGCCAGGCCGUGUGCCCACCUGACAUGUGGUAUGUGCUGGAAAGAGUGAGUUCCUUUGCCCAGUCCCCGCAUCACACACGGGACCUGCCUCCAGCUCAGCCGGCUCCUAUGUCUCCCCCGCCACCUCUGCUUGGCCGGUGCCUGGCCUCCAUCACAGUCCAGCGCAACUGUCACCUCCUCCAAGGUGCUCCCUGAGCCCCUCCCUCCCUGGAGCAGGGCCUCUCUUGCCUGCAACCCCAUGGUCUCUGCAAGCCUCUGCCUGCUCAGUCUCGUUAGUCCCCAGAGGAGGGUCCAGUCUUCCCCUGUGUCUACCCUCUGGAACUCCACACAGCAUCUCGCUUGGAGAAAGCACUAGCUGGUUCCUUGUUGAACUAAUGGCCAUCAAAUGACACACGGUACAGUCCAACCCUGCACACCCAUCAGCCAGAAACAGCUCUGCCUCCGAGGCCCCGCGCACCUCUCCCUCUUUAAUUAACUCCACAUCUCUACUGAGCACCUGCUACCCGCUGGUCAUGAGCAUGCAGCAGUAAACAAAGAGACCUUCCUGCCCUCACAGAGCAGAGAGUAAACAAACACACCCAAAACAA